CAAUAAGUGUCAUUCAUAUCCUCAAAUUCAAAUGUCUCAGGAGAACCACCAAUGGAAUGAAAUGCUUGUCUCCUUUUACCACCUACUUUCUCACGCUGCUCCAUGAUCACUGAGUUCCUAAAAUCAGAGAAAAAAUUAAUAAUGAUGGUCAAGAAACUAUAUCCUUUAAAGGGCUCUUGUGCUGCCAAGUGAAGUUGUGA
rnacentral:misc_RNA from 1 species